CAGCAGCCGCGGUAAUACGUAGGUGGCAAGCGUUGUCCGGAAUUAUUGGGCGUAAAGGGCUCGCAGGCGGUUUCUUAAGUCUGAUGUGAAAGCCCCCGGCUCAACCGGGGAGGGUCAUUGGGAACUGGGAAACUUGAGUGCAGAAGAGGAGAGUGGAAUUCCACGUGUAGCGGUGAAAUGCGUAGAGAUGUGGAGGAACACCAGUGGCGAAGGCGACUCUCUGGUCUGUAACUGACGCUGAGGAGCGAAAGCGUGGGGAGCGAACAGGAUUAGAUACCCCAGUAGUCCCUGUCUCUUAUAA
rnacentral:rRNA from 1 species